CGGCCACGCUGCGGUGUGAGCUGAGCAAGGCGGCACCGGUGGAGUGGAGGAAGGGGCAUGAGACCCUCAGAGACGGGGACAGACACAGCCUGAGGCAGGACGGGUCCAGGUGUGAGCUGCAGAUCCGUGGCCUGGCUGUGGUGGAUGCCGGGGAGUACUCGUGUGUGUGCGGGCAGGAGAGGACCUCAGCCACACUCACUGUCAGGGCCCUGCCUGCCAGAUUCAUAGAAGAUGUGAAAAACCAGGAGGCCAGAGAAGGGGCCACGGCCAUGCUGCAAUGUGAGCUGAGCAAGGCGGCCCCUGUGGAGUGGAGGAAGGGGUCUGAGACCCUCAGAGGUGGGGACAGAUACAGCCUGAGGCAGGAUGGGACCAGAUGUGAGCUGCAGAUUCGUGGCCUGUCCGUGGCAGACGCUGGGGAGUACUCGUGUGUGUGCGGGCAGGAGAGGACCUCGGCCACACUCACCAUCAGGGCCCUGCCUGCCAGGUUCACAGAGGGUCUGAGGAAUGAAGAGGCCAUGGAAGGGGCCACAGCCACACUGCAAUGUGAGCUGAGCAAGGCAGCCCCUGUGGAGUGGAGGAAAGGCCUUGAGGCUCUCAGAGAUGGGGACAAAUACAGCCUGAGACAAGACGGGGCUGUGUGUGAGCUGCAGAUUCAUGGCCUGGCUAUGGCAGAUAACGGGGUGUACUCAUGUGUGUGUGGGCAGGAGAGGACCUCAGCUACACUCACUGUCAGGGGUAAAGAACCUAUGUGGCCAUGUGGGCUUGUGGCUUGGUGUAUACACCUCUCUGUGUCACCACCUUCUGCCUCCAAAUGUGACACAUCUCCUGUGGAAACCCUGUGAUUGUCUGUCCUCUAACUGGGGCCCUCUAGGUAUCUCCUGCCUCCCCUUCUCAUCAGUAGAUGUCCUCCUG
rnacentral:lncRNA from 1 species